GCACCACGUUGGAAGUCUGUGAAUCCACAAUCACUGCAUCUCAGCACACGCGUGUGAACCAUCGUGUACUUUGUGCAGAAAUAGGCUCUGAGCAAGGGAGGGCAGGGCAGUUAGAGUCGAGGUUAAGAUACUUCUCCAACUGCAGACAGCGCUCGGUGUGUACAGGCACAUAGCUAUCUUACCUGUCAGACAGACAGUCCAGGGGAGACACCUGUAAGACAAAGCAGAAAAAAGAUCUUGGAGAAGGGCGUCUGCUGGUUUUUGAAGGACACGGUCCCAAAUCACAGAGGGAAGAUUAAUAGCCCUUCCCCACAUGCUGAGAGGACACCCCGGCGGGCGUUUGAUGAGACAGGUUGCCAACGCCAGGCAGACCAGGAGAAUGGGACAGUCGGUGCGAGGCUGGCCCUAGUUAUGAAACUAGCUGGUGCUGUGAACUGGACAACUUGGCCAGGGGACCUGGUGAGGUCAGCAGGAUCGUGAAGAGGUGAGUGACCUGGACCCACACAACAGGUGGGCCUGCAGAUUUGAGGUGGGCCAGGGGCAGGCGGCCAAAGAGAAGGUGCACUUUUGGGAGUGGAAGCAGUGUGUCUCCAGAGGUGCACACGCACGGAGAAUGCACAAAGAAAGCAGCACGACCACCACCCUAGGGCAGCAGUAGCCUGGGCAGCGGCAGAUUCUCAUGCCACAGCAGCAAGAUCCCAAGACAAUGUAGGCAGCACCCACACUAAAAUCUCGAGGACCAGCUUGACACACAGGUAGGUGGUGCCAACCUGGCAUGUGGAUAAAGAAGACAGAAGCAGCAGGGCUUGGUCUCUACACCUGGUAGUGUGAUAAACUGAAAAAACUGCUGUAGAGUUUGAAAAAGGGGAAGAAAAUUGUAUUCACCUAAAUUCCCCUGGAAAGGAGAAACUGUCUUUGCUGGGAACAAUAUUUUGAUUAGUGCUUAAGUCUGAAGCUGAGAUCCCAGUGGCGGCAUGGGUGUAGGUGGAACAGCUCUGCAUGAGAGACGGGAAAGAGUUUUUGAAUUUUGCAUGUUAAACCAAAGAGAGAGGGGAAGAAAGGAGGCUGCUCUUCGGUACUGUUCACUGUGAGGCCCUUUCCCUAUCGCCCCGCUAAAUUUUCAGAAAGUUAUGAAGAUCGUGAAAUGCUUGGGGUCAAGUGGAGUGUGUAUACUUGAUAUUUACGUGCACAUAUUCACGUGUGCGGGGUUGGUGCCUCAGGUUGAAACAGAUGACGAGCAGAGCCCAGGCACUGGCAGGGAUGCAGAGGGAGAGAAGGCGCUCAGAGAGGAGAGAUACCACUAUAGGGGUGCUAGAGGCAGGGGCAAGUUUAGCCAAAUCUCAGCAGGGUGCGGCCCCAGUUGAUUUCUGGGUGACUAAAUUCUGCCAGUGUCGUUUUGGUUAUUCUCAGUUCUGUUUGCUGUAUCCAAAUCAACUAACAACAACAACAACAACCACACACACACACACACACACACACACACACACGGAAACUCUUCAGGAACUGAAAACCAGGUAUCUAUGUACUAGGUGGGCUAUAAUGUUGAUGUCCAGCUGGGACUCUCAGGCCCACUUCAGAGCGGAAUCACAGCCAAGGACCAGCCUCCUUUGAUGUUGCCAUGCCACCCCAUCUUCCCUAAGUUCCUGUCGAGAGGAUGAGGGUGGCACCAGCAUCUUGCAGCCUUGGUUCUGGUUAGGUCUACACUGGCAGGCAUCAGUGCCCUCUCCCUGUCAAAGAUAUUAUUGAUUGCUUGCUGGAUCUUAGUUCCCCAACCAGGGAUCCAACCUGGGCCCUGGCAGUGAAAGCACCGAGUCCUAACCACUAGACUGCCGGGAAAUUCCCAUCCCUGUCAAAGAUCUUUAACUGGGGCAGGGCCAGGGCCACAAGAGGCAGCUGGGGUUAGUAAUCUAGAAAGGCUCCUCGAAAGAGCCUUGAGUCUUCAAUAUUGACAUCUUCAAGCCAAGAGAGGCAGAGUUGAACCUUCCUAACCAGAAAAGUCCCUUGUUGGCCCACUGAGUCCUGCCCGCCUCCCCUCAGCUGCUCUUCCCAGGGGCAGUUCUUGAAGGCAAUAAGGAAAUGACAAUGCCAAAGACGGGCCCAGUUUAUCCUGAGAUUUUUGGUCUCUCUCAUCUCUCCAUACCUGCACCUGGCUCUCCUUGAGAAUAACCCCCAGGCCUAGGGCAAGAAACACCUCUUGAGCAAUUCACGUGCAGCCCAGGAAGCAAGUGGGAAGGAAUGACUUCUGUCGUGAUCUUCUGAGAUGCCGUGUGGAGUCCUUUGAGAGAACUAGAAUGGUGCUGGCGUGGGGACCCAAGCUCAUGGCCAAUGAGGCAGGAAACUUGUGAUGCAUGGAGGAUGGCAACACGGGCUGAAGAUUUUCAGUGUCCUGGCUGCUGUACACAUCUGCAAUCCUUGAAUGCACAGUCAUGGUGGAAAGUGGUUGACACGUGGAAGGCCUAGCACUACUAUCCCAGGUGCCUGUAUUUGGCCUCCAGGCUUCUGUUCUCCUUGUGCUGGAGCAUCAAGGCCUUGUUGAGGUUCUCGACCACAGCAGACAUGUACCUGAUGGCCCGAACCUCCCCCUGGUUGAACAUUGUGGAGUCUAGGAGUUCCUGCAGCAUGGACUUCACCUCGGAGACCCUUAUGCAGCCUUGUUCCCCAGAACCUGCACGAGGCCGCAGCUCCAGGGACCACCAACGAGGACCUGUCUCCACAUCACACCUUCCUUCAGCCCUGAGGGACAGCCCAGAACUGCUCACUUCUCAGCUUGGGUCCACCACCCCAAACUCUUACCACUGACCAUCCACCUCAGCUAAAGCUUUUGUUAUGGAGGAGAAUCAGAAAGACUCCCAUAGACCCUGGUGUGUGACUUCUUUCCUUGAGAUGGCAUCUGCCCCAGCUCCCCUGCCAGGUGCUCCUGGAACCUACUUUGUGCCCCUUUCCUUUGUCCUUCAAUGAGAGUGGAGCAGAGGGAAAUGAGAGACUCGAUGCCUCCUUUGGUGGCGAUGAGGGAGAGAGGUAACCCCUUCUCCAUCACCUCGAUCCAUUCAUCCAGGGCUUCCUCUUCCUCCUCACUCUACCUGUUCCUGAUCUCAUAGGUCAGACUGUCACCUGGAGAGAGAGUGGGAGAUGCAGGCUGAGAAUAGUCUGUCCUCUAGGGAGCCCCAAAUAGCCCUAUAGGAUAGGGGUUACACCAGCAGGCUUUGAGGUUGGAUUGGUUUAACCUCUUAUUAGCUGUAUGAUGUUGAGCAAGUCACUUAUUUCCCUAGCCUUAGUAUCCUUGCCAAAAAAGGGUUGGGUAUGGAUUAAAUAAUACUAGUGAAAUGAUUAACAUGAGACCUGCCAUGUAGAAAAUAUGCAUAGACAUAAAACAGCACUGUUGUACUACAAGGUCAGCAAUGUGCCUAUCUUGUUAUUGCUCUAUCCUCACUGCCUAGUCCAAUAUCUGGACAAUUAAAUGAAUUAACUGCAGUCAACAGCCCUGCUUAGUUCUUGGGGGCAGCUGAAGGACCACUGAGCCGAGAGCUCCUCAGGGGCAGGGCAACGUGAGUAGGGGUAGGACAUAUCCGUAUACCACCUUCCUCCAACACUGCAGCAUCCGCCAUACCUCACACCAGACUGAGGUCUCCUGAUCGGAUAACUCUGGUCUUAACAGGGGUAGCAUCUGGCUCCAGGGCUGCAUGCUGCUGGUCCACACCCAAAUGGCUAUACCAGUUGCUUACAGCUGGCAUCAGUGCUGUUUGGCUCAGUAUCCAUUCAGUACUUUGAAUAUCACCCUUGAGUCCCUCUAUAAAAUAGCUAGUGUGCUUCACAAAAAACAAUUAGAACUAAUAAACAAAUUCAAUAAAGUUACAGGAUCCAAAAUCAACAUAUAAAAGUCAGUUGCAU